GGUUAAGCGACUAAGCGUACACGGUGGAUGCCUUGGCAGUCAGAGGCGAUGAAGGACGUGCUAAUCUGCGAUAAGCGUCGGUAAGGUGAUAUGAACCGUUAUAACCGGCGAUUUCCGAAUGGGGAAACCCAGUGUGAUUCGUCACACUAUCAUUAACUGAAUCCAUAGGUUAAUGAGGCGAACCGGGGGAACUGAAACAUCUAAGUACCCCGAGGAAAAGAAAUCAACCGAGAUUCCCCCAGUAGCGGCGAGCGAACGGGGAGCAGCCCAGAGCCUGAAUCAGUAUGUGUGUUAGUGGAAGCGUCUGGAAAGGCGCGCGAUACAGGGUGACAGCCCCGUACACAAAAAUGCACAUGCUGUGAGCUCGAUGAGUAGGGCGGGACACGUGGUAUCCUGUCUGAAUAUGGGGGGACCAUCCUCCAAGGCUAAAUACUCCUGACUGACCGAUAGUGAACCAGUACCGUGAGGGAAAGGCGAAAAGAACCCCGGCGAGGGGAGUGAAAAAGAACCUGAAACCGUGUACGUACAAGCAGUGGGAGCACGCUUAGGCGUGUGACUGCGUACCUUUUGUAUAAUGGGUCAGCGACUUAUAUUCUGUAGCAAGGUUAACCGAAUAGGGGAGCCGAAGGGAAACCGAGUCUUAACUGGGCGUUAAGUUGCAGGGUAUAGACCCGAAACCCGGUGAUCUAGCCAUGGGCAGGUUGAAGGUUGGGUAACACUAACUGGAGGACCGAACCGACUAAUGUUGAAAAAUUAGCGGAUGACUUGUGGCUGGGGGUGAAAGGCCAAUCAAACCGGGAGAUAGCUGGUUCUCCCCGAAAGCUAUUUAGGUAGCGCCUCGUGAAUUCAUCUCCGGGGGUAGAGCACUGUUUCGGCAAGGGGGUCAUCCCGACUUACCAACCCGAUGCAAACUGCGAAUACCGGAGAAUGUUAUCACGGGAGACACACGGCGGGUGCUAACGUCCGUCGUGAAGAGGGAAACAACCCAGACCGCCAGCUAAGGUCCCAAAGUCAUGGUUAAGUGGGAAACGAUGUGGGAAGGCCCAGACAGCCAGGAUGUUGGCUUAGAAGCAGCCAUCAUUUAAAGAAAGCGUAAUAGCUCACUGGUCGAGUCGGCCUGCGCGGAAGAUGUAACGGGGCUAAACCAUGCACCGAAGCUGCGGCAGCGACGCUGAUGCGUUGUUGGGUAGGGGAGCGUUCUGUAAGCCUGCGAAGGUGUGCUGUGAGGCAUGCUGGAGGUAUCAGAAGUGCGAAUGCUGACAUAAGUAACGAUAAAGCGGGUGAAAAGCCCGCUCGCCGGAAGACCAAGGGUUCCUGUCCAACGUUAAUCGGGGCAGGGUGAGUCGACCCCUAAGGCGAGGCCGAAAGGCGUAGUCGAUGGGAAACAGGUUAAUAUUCCUGUACUUG
rnacentral:rRNA from 1 species